CCACGCUGAGUAGGAAGUCCAUGGAGGACUAAUUAAAAUGGCUGCCAUGACAUGACGAGCAUCGGGCUGCUACUGGGUGUGUCUGCAGCCAAGCUGAGAAACAUGGACGUGUCAAUCACCCACCUGCAGAGCAUCCACAUUCCCGCACUGCUCCCACUCACCUCCACUGAGCUAGACGUACCGCACAACGUGCAGGUGGCGGCUGUGCUGUGCAUCGGCCUGGUCUUCCAGGACACGGGCCACCGCCACAACGCAGAGGUGUGAUCGGUGGACUCCCCCUGGUCCUGAGAUGGAGUACUGCACAGACAGAGAGCCCUACUCCUUGGGCUGGCCCUGGGUAUGGUCUGGCUGGAGGACAAUGACCCAACACACCUCCAGGCUAUUUGACCAAGAAGGAGAGUGAUG